UACGUAGGGUGCGAGCGUUAAUCGGAAUUACUGGGCGUAAAGCGUGCGCAGGCGGUCUGUUAAGACCGAUGUGAAAUCCCCGGGCUUAACCUGGGAACUGCAUUCGGGACUGCAUUGCUAGAGUAUGGGAGAGGGAAGUGGAAUUUCAGGUGUAGCGGUGAAAUGCGUAGAUAUCUGAAGGAACAUCAGUGGCGAAAGCGACUUCCUGGACCAAUACUGACGCUCAUGUGCGAAAGCGUGGGGAGCAAACAGG
rnacentral:rRNA from 1 species